rnacentral:ncRNA from 1 species
AUAAAAUAAUUAUGUUUUUUUAUUUUAAUGUAAAUUUAUUUUACAUAUAAAUUUUUGUAUAUAAUUUUAAUUAUUUUAAUAAUAAUUAAUUAAUUUUGUAGUAAUUAAUAUUAAAAAUUUAAGAAAUUAAGAUUUAGUAAUAUUAAAAUUAAUAACUAAUUUUGUGCCAGCAGUUGCGGUUAAACAAAAAUUAAAUUAAAAUAUUUCAGUUUAUAAUAAAUAAUAUUUAAUAUUAAAAUAAAUAUUAAAUUAUUAAGUGAAAUUUUAAUUUAAUUAAAUUUUAUUUUUAAAUUAUGAUUUAGUAAAUUUUAUUUAUAAACUAGGAUUAGAUACCCUAUUAUUAAAAAUUUAAUUUAUAAUACUAAAAUAGUAAGUAAUAAUUUAUUGAAACUUAAAUAAUAUGGCGGUAUUUUAGUUCAUUUAGAGGAAUCUGUCUAAUAAUUGAUAAUCCACGAAUAAAUUUACUUAAUUUAUUAUUUUGUAUAUCAUUGUUAAAAAAAUAUUUUAUAAUAAAAAUAAUAUUUAAAAAUUUAAAAUAAAAAUUAAAUCAGAUCAAGAUGCAGAUUAUAAUUAAGUUAGAGAUGGAUUACAAUAAAAAUAUUUAAAUGAAAAUAAUUUUUGUAAAAUAUAAUUGAAGGUGGAUUUAAAUGUAAUUUUAAUUAAUUUAUUAGAAUGAUUAAAAAUUAAAAUAUGUACAUAUUGCCCGUCACUUUCAUUUAAAAAUUGAAAUAAGUCGUAACAAAGUAGAGGUACUGGAAAGUGUUUCUAGAAUGA